UACGAAGGGGGCUAGCGUUGCUCGGAAUCACUGGGCGUAAAGGGUGCGUAGGCGGGUCUUAAGUCAGGGGUGAAAUCCUGGAGCUCAACUCCAGAACUGCCUUUGAUACUGAGGAUCUUGAGUUCGGGAGAGGUGAGUGGAACUGCGAGUGUAGAGGUGAAAUUCGUAGAUAUUCGCAAGAACACCAGUGGCGAAGGCGGCUCACUGGCCCGAUACUGACGCUGAGGCACGAAGGCCAGGGGAGCAAACGGG
rnacentral:rRNA from 1 species